rnacentral:lncRNA from 1 species
CAAAUCCUCAAAGAACACUCUGUUCUAGUCCCAGCUGCUGUAUCCAUCUGCGUUGUAUCUCAUUAGCAGAAGAGCCUAGUGAGAUAGGAGUUGCAUCUCUGCUCAUCCAGAUCUCUAGAGAAGGGAUCUACCCCUGGACUUUUUCCUGGAAAACUCUUCACGAAGCCAUAGGUAUGGAUGGAAGAAAAUGCACCAGUCCAAUAGCAGUAGGAGCCUGGGUAUUCUAUGCAUUUGAGUAUCUCACAUCUUCUGGAUCUGCCUAAACCCAGUCGCCAAGUACCACAGAUAUUGUGACUUACUGAUUCCCCCAGCUCAUCAAGCCUACCUCCGGUUGUUUUGUCACGUGGUGUUCCAGACAAAAUAGCUCACUUGCUGGAACCUGCUGAAGAAGUAACCUAACUGAUGUGCUUGAAAGUGCAAAUAUUUCUUGCAUGAUACAUGCUAUAAAAAUUCAUUUCUUAUUCAGCUCGAGGGAAGAUGCUGAAAUUGCUGUGCAUCCAAUGAAAGCUAAGGUGCAAAUGGAAAUUUAGAGACUAUUUUUUUAUCUUGCAAUUCAGUCAUGAUGUUCUAUUGCCACGUUUCAAGAUCAAAGAUUUAAGGGUCUGCUGGAUUUUGCUGGGGGUCCACUCCAGAAGCUGUUUUCCUGGGUAUCACCAGCAGAGGCUGCAGAACAGCAAAGAUGGCUGCCUGUUCCUUCCUCUGGAAGCUUCAUCCCAGAGGAGCACCCGCCAGAUGCCAGUGGAAUCUCUCCUGCGUGAGGUGUCUGUCAACCCUUGGAAGCACCGGGGUCAGGGACCCAUUUGAGGAGGAAUCUAGAGAGGCAGUCUGUCUACAGCGGUUUUGUCAAAACUCCUUAUUGUUUAACUAAGAAAAAAAAAUCCCCCAAACAGUUUCUGACUUUUGUUUCCUUGGUUCAUCUUCCUCUCAUUGUAUCACAGGGCUACUUGAUUGUAUUUCAGUAUUCAAUUUAUAUAUUUCAUAUUCUGCUGAAUGCAUAGAAUAUAAAUUAAAAAUUCUUUUUCUCAAGCAAGUCA